GACGAACGCUGGCGGCGUGCUUAACACAUGCAAGUCUAACGAAGGGGCGAACGGGUGAGUAACGCGUAAUCAACCUGCCCUUCAGAGGGGGACAACCGUUGGAAACGACUGCUAAUACCGCAUACUGACGGUGGGGAUUGCGUCUGAUUAGCUAGUUGGAGGGGUAACGACCCACCAAGGCGAUGAUCAGUCGCGGGGUUGAGAGGAUGACCGGCCACAUUGGGACGGAGACACGGCCCAGACUCCUACGGGAGGCAGCAGUGGGGAAUCUUCCGCAAUGGACGAAAGUCUGACGGAGCAACGCCGCGUGAGUGAUGACGGCCUUCGGGUUGUAAAGCUCUGUUAAUCGGGACGCGGUACCGGAAUAGAAAGCCACGGCUAACUACGUGCCAGCCGCCGCGGUAAUUC
rnacentral:rRNA from 1 species